rnacentral:rRNA from 1 species
CACCUACGGGAGGCUGCAGUGGGGAAUUUUGGACAAUGGGCGCAAGCCUGAUCCAGCCAUGCCGCGUGCAGGAUGAAGGCCUUCGGGUUGUAAACUGCUUUUGUACGGAACGAAACGGCCUUUUCUAAUAAAGAGGGCUAAUGACGGUACCGUAAGAAUAAGCACCGGCUAACUACGUGCCAGCAGCCGCGGUAAUACGUAGGGUGCAAGCGUUAAUCGGAAUUACUGGGCGUAAAGCGUGCGCAGGCGGUAAUGUAAGACAGUUGUGAAAUCCCCGGGCUCAACCUGGGAACUGCAUCUGUGACUGCAUUGCUGGAGUACGGCAGAGGGGGAUGGAAUUCCGCGUGUAGCAGUGAAAUGCGUAGAUAUGCGGAGGAACACCGAUGGCGAAGGCAAUCCCCUGGGCCUGUACUGACGCUCAUGCACGAAAGCGUGGGGAGCAAACAGGAUUAGAUACCCUGGUAGUCCACGCCCUAAACGAUGUCAACUGGUUGUUGGGAAUUCACUUUCUCAGUAACGAAGCUAACGCGUGAAGUGACCGC